rnacentral:lncRNA from 1 species
GGGCUCGCCGGGGCGAGUGUGCGCCCCAGCUCUGCCUGGUGUGUUUGGAGGAACACGUGGGUAUGGCAGCGCGUGGACCCUGAGCACGCAAGGAUGUGAGUGUGCGAGUAAGUGUGCCUCGAGAAAGUUCACGUGUGCGAGACCCUGCGCACAUGCAUGGUGAGUGUUGUGGCGAGUGCCAGAGCAGAGGCCACCAAGAGGCUGGCGGGUAGGGUUGCUGCACGUGGCCUCGUGGGAAGCAUGCGGCUAAUGUGCGCCCAGUGCACGAGACAAUUUACUUUGAGGGCCUACAAGUACCUAGCCUUGGAGGAUGUUGUUUGAGGGUGCGGAACAGAGGGGUUCGAAGCCACUCCAAGUAUGUGUAGCACUUUGCAGGCUGCACUCCACAAGGUGUCUUCCUAAAGCUGCUGGAUGGAAGCGGUAGCUGACGUUUGUGCCCGGGACUCAGGCUUUUGGAACACGCACGGAUCUGUGGGACAGUGUGGACCCAGAACGACUAGGUGUGCAGAGAGAUGCGCGAAGGGACAGCGGCCCUGAGGCCUUGAGGUUCUUUGGAGUCUCUGGACAAGAACCCCCUUCCCCUCCUGUCUGCUGGUCCCUCCACCCGAAGAAGUCUGCCUAUGGCCAAAUAGCAUCCAUUAGACGGAUCCAGGAUCGUGGACUGUGGGGCUUGUGUGU